AGCAGUCGCCGCGGUAAUACGAAGGGGGCUAGCGUUGUUCGGAAUUACUGGGCGUAAAGCGCACGUAGGCGGAUAUUUAAGUCAGGGGUGAAAUCCCGCAGCUCAACUGCGGAACUGCCUUUGAUACUGGGUAUCUUGAGUAUGGAAGAGGUUAGUGGAAUUGCGAGUGUAGAGGUGAAAUUCGUAGAUAUUCGCAGGAACACCAGUGGCGAAGGCGGCUAACUGGUCCAUAACUGACGCUGAGGUGCGAAAGCGUGGGGAGCAAACAGGAUUAGAUACCCCUGUAGUCCCUGUCUCUUAUAA
rnacentral:rRNA from 1 species